AUUGAACGCUGGCGGCAGGCCUAACACAUGCAAGUCGAGCGGAUGAGAGGAGAUUGCUUCUCGAUUCAGCGGCGGACGGGUGAGUAAUGCCUAGGAAUCUGCCUGGUAGUGGGGGACAACGUUUCGAAAGGAACGCUAAUAACGCAUACGUCCUACGGGAGAAAGAAGGGGAACUUCGGGGGUUGCGCUAUAAGAGGGGGCUAGGUCGGAUUAGCUAGUUGGUGAGGUAAUGGCUCACCAAGGCGACGAUCCGUAACUGGUCUGAGAGGAUGAUCAGUCACACUGGAACUGAGACACGGUCCAGACUCCUACGGGAGGCAGCAGCGGGGAAUAUUGGACAAUGGGCGAAAGCCUGAUCCAGCCAUGCCGCGUGUGUGAAGAAGGUCUUCGGAUUGUAAAGCACUCUAAGUUGGGAGGAAGGGUUGUAGAUUAAUACUCUGCAAUUUUGACGUUACCGACAGAAUAAGCACCGGCUAACUCUGUGCCAGCCGCCGCCGUAAAAC
rnacentral:rRNA from 1 species